rnacentral:tRNA from 1 species
GGAGAGGUGCGAGAGCGGUUGAAUCGGGCGGUCUCGAAAACCGUUGUGCCCUUCGGGUACCGUGGGUUCGAAUCCCACCCUCUCCGCCA